GCGCGUAAAUUGCCCGAAUCCUGACACAGGGAGGUAGUGACAAGAAAUAACAAUACAGGGCUACUUCUAGUCUUGUAAUUGGAAUGAGUACAACUUACAUCUCUUCACGAGGAUCAAUUGGAGGGCAAGUCUGGUGCCAGCAGCCGCGGUAAUUCCAGCUCCAAUAGCGUAUAUUAAAGUUGUUGCAGUUAAAGAGCUCGUAGUCGGAUUUCGGGUCGGGCCGAGCGGUCUGCCGAUGGGUAUGCACUGUUCGGCGCGGCCUUCUUUCCGGAGACCGCGGCUACUCUUAACUGAGCGGGCGUGGGAGACGGAUCGUUUACUUUGAAAAAAUCAGAGUGUUUCAAGCAGGCAGCUCGCUCUUGCAUGGAUUAGCAUGGGAUAAUGAAAUAGGACUCUGGUGCUAUUUUGUUGGUUUCGAACACCGGAGUAAUGAUUAACAGGGACAGUCAGGGGCACUCGUAUUCC
rnacentral:rRNA from 1 species